rnacentral:rRNA from 1 species
AAUAGAUACCCAGGUAGUCCACGCCGUAAACGAUGAGUGCUAAGUGUUAGGGGGUUUUCCGCCCCCUUAGUGCUGCAGCUAACGCAUUAAGCACUCCGCCUGGGGAGUACGGUCGCAAGACUGAAACUCAAAGGAAUUGACGGGGGCCCGCACAAGCGGUGGAGCAUGUGGUUUAAUUCGAAGCAACGCGAAGAACCUUACCAGGUCUUGACAUCCCAUUGACCACUAUGGAGACAUAGUUUUCCCUUCGGGGUACAACGGUGACAGGUGGUGCAUGGUUGUCGUCAGCUCGUGUCGUGAGAUGUUGGGUUAAGUCCCGCAACGAGCGCAACCCUUGUUCUUAGUUGCCAUCAUUUAGUUGGGCACUCUAAGGAGACUGCCGGUGACAAACCGGAGGAAGGUGGGGAUGACGUCAAGUCACCAUGCCCCGUUAUGACCUGGGCUACACACGUGCUACAAUGGACGGUACAAACGGUUGCCAACCCGCGAGGGGGAGCUAAUCCGAUAAAACCGUUCUCAGUUCGGAUUGUAGGCUGCAACUCGCCUACAUGAAGGCC